ensembl:lncRNA
CCUGCCCUGACUGUGGGAAUGUUUAAGGAACAGAGAGCCUUGGAGGUACCCAGUCCUAAGGAAAUACCUCCCUCAGGACUCAGCAGCUCGCCAGGGCAACCCUGGCAGGUCAGAGGCAGAGGAUGCCAAAGGCAAACACGGACAAGGAGCAGCUGACAGCACACAUGAAACAGGCACAUGGUAGGGCUUCAUCAGCUUCCCUGGGCAGGGAUGCAGAUGCGCGGAGAGGCCUCUGGGAGCAAACAGCCCAGCAGGACGCAGCAAGGCCGUCGGUGUGCAUUGAAUACAACCUCAGCAGUAUGUCAGGGGGGCACAAGAAGAAGGGGACUGCUGUAAAGCAGAUCAUUGUGUCCUUCAAGAGGAAGCCUCCAGAGGAACUGUGCAGGAACUGCCUGACCCACACCACGUGCAGACAGGCUCGGAGAGCCAGCCUGCCACAGCAGCAGGAUGACCUGGAGGACAGGGAGCUCCAGCAGCCAGGGAACGAGGGACAGUGUUUCUCCCGGAGGCAGUCAGGGGGACUCUAUGGCAGACCUGGGCAGGUGGGUGCCAAGGAUGGAAUGAGACAGCCUAAGACAGGACGUGACAGGUCCAUGAGCUUUCCAUGGACCACACGACAGCAACCGCAAGUUGUAUAUGUGAACUUCACGAAGGGCACCAUGAGCAAACAGGAGGCGUUGGAGUGUCUGGAAGCCCAUACUGCCACCAGUGAGCCAGUGGCUUUGGCCGAGGAGGAAGAGCGGGAAGAGGGUGUUGGUAAAAAGCUGUCCCAGGAGGAGAGGUGGGAAGAUGGAAUCAGCAGACAACUGGACCUGAAACUAAGCAUGAGUGAAACAACAGCAGCAGAAACACCUGCAGGACAUACCUACAGAUCUCCUUCCCUCACAGUCAUUGAUGCCCUGGCUCACGAGAGGCGGACAUCCUUCCAGAAGUCACCAAGGGCUCUGCACAGGGCCUCCAUUGCCACAGAGAGCAGGAGAAGCAGCAGGAGCAGUCUCUCUCCAGAAGAGCAGGAGAAACAGCACACAAGAGACUGCACACCGGCUCUGCUGGAAACAGCCCAGUACAUUACGGGUGAGGUCGUACACAAGGCUGUAACAGUGAUCCAGGAACCCAGUGAGCAGACAGAAGAGCAAAAGGACCUGGAAGACAGCAUGGAUGCCCUGGCUCACGAGAGGCGGACGUCCUUCCAGACGGCACCAAGGGCUCUGCACAGGGCCUCCAUUGCCACAGAGAGCAGGAGAAGCAGCAGGAGCAGUCUCUCUCCAGAAGAGCAGGAGAAGCAGCACACAAGAGACUGCACACCGGCUCUGCUGGACACAACCCAGUACAUUACGGAUGAGGUCGUACACAAGGCUGUAACUGUGAUCCAGGAACCCAGUGAGCAGACAGAAGACCAACAGGACCUGGAAGGCAGCACAGAUGUGUCAUUGGCCACACCAGCAGGGGCAGAAGACCAGACACCAGCCCCCGACAGCCCCACAGAUGAUGCCCCAGCUCUGCUGGACACAGCCCAGUACAUCACAGAUGAGGUCGUACACAAGGCUGUAACUGUGAUCCAGGAACCCAGUGAGCAGACAGAAGAGCAACAGGACCUGGAAGACAGCAUGGAUGUGUCAUUGGCCACACCAGCAGGGGCAGAAGACCAGACACCUGCCCCCAACAGCCCCACAAACAAUGGUUUACUGGACACAGCCCAGUACAUUACGGGUGAGGUUGUGCACAAGGCUGUAACUGUGAUCCAGGAACCCAGUGAGCAGACAGAAGAGCAACAGGACCUGGAAGACAGCAUGGAUGUGUCAUUGGCCACACCAGCAGGGGCAGAAGACCAGACACCUGCCCCCAACAGCCCCACAGAUGAUGCCCCAGCUCUGCUGGACACAGCCCAGUACAUUACGGGUGAGGUUGUGCGCAAGGCUGUAACUGUGAUCCAGGAACCCAGUGAGCAGACAGAAGAGCAACAGGACCUGGAAGACAGCAUGGAUGUGUCAUUGGCCACAUCAACAGGGGCAGAAGACCAGACACCUGCCCCCGACAGCCCCACAAACAAUGGUUUACUGGACACAGCCCAGUACAUCAGGGGUGGGGUUGUGCGCAAGGCUGUAACUGUGAUCCAGGAACCCAGUGAGAAGACAGAAGAGCAACAGGACCUGGAAAACAGCAUGGAUGUGUCAUUGGCCACACCAGCAGGGGCAGAAGACCAGACACCUGCCCCCGACAGCCCCACAGACAAUGACCCUGUUCUGCUGGACACAGCCCAGUACAUCAAGGGUGGGGUUGUGCGCAAGGCUGUAAUUGUGACCCAGGGACCCGAGGAGCAGAUAGAAGAGCAACAGGACCUGGAUCAAAAUAUGGAUGAGGUGACUAAAGCCACAGCCACAACAGAAGGGACAGAAAGCCCAGCAGAUGCCCCGCACAGCCCCACAGACAAUGCCCCUGUUCUGCUGGACACAGACGAGUACACCAGGACAAAGGUCCUGGGCAAGGGUGUAAUUGUGAUCCAGGGAACCAAGCAACAGCCGGAAGAACUGAGGGACCUGGGACAAAGUACAGAUGAGGUGACAAGAGCAACAGUCACAGCAGCAGGGGCAGAGAUACCCAGGCACAUACCCCACACAGCCCCGCACAGCCCCACAGACGAUGCCCCUGUUCUGCUGGACACAGCUCAGUACAUCAGGACUGAGGUCGUCCGCAAGGCUGUGAUUAUGACCCAGGCACCUGUUCUGCAGCUGGAAGAACAGUGGAACCGGGAAGGAAGCAUGGAUGAGGUAAUGGCAGCAACAGCCACAACAGCAGAAGUGACAGAAAGCCCAGCAUAUGCCCUGAACUACCCCACACCUGAUGCUCCAACUCUGCUGGACACAUUCCAGUACAUCAGGAAUGAAGUCCAGGGCAAGGCUACACUGUUAGUCCAGAGUCCUGAACAGCAGCCGGAAGAACAGCAGGACCUGGAACAAGGCGUGGAUGAGGUGGUGAGAGCAACAACCACAGCAGCAGGAGCAGAGAACCCAGCACAUGCCCUGCACAGCCCCACAGACAAUGCCCCUGUUCUGCUGAACACAGACAAGUACAACAGGACAAAGGUCCUGGGCAAGGGUGUAAUUGUGAUCCAGGGAACCAACCAACAGCCAGAAGAACUGAAGGACCUGAAACAAAGCACAGGAGAGGUGAUGACAGCAACAGCCACAGCAGCAGAGGCAGAGGUUCUGGCACAUACCCUGCACAGCCCUGCAGGCAAUGCUCCAGCUCUGCUGGACAAAGCCCAGAACAUCAGAGGUGAGGUUGUGGGCAAGGCUGCUCUAAACAGUUCUCUAAAGAGUUCCAAACAGCGGCCAAAAGUACAGCAGAACCCCGAAAAAGGUACGGAUAACAUGAUGAAAGCAACAGCCACAGCAACACGGACUGCUCCAACAGCCAGAAGAACAGCAGGACCAGAAAAGAAGUAUGGACGAGGCACCGGCAGGACCAACCUCCUCAGCAGGACCAGAGAGCCCAGUAAACGCCCCCCAAAGCCCCACAGCUGAAGCUCCGACUCUGCUGGACACAACCCACUACAUCAGGAGUGGGAUCCUGGGCAAGGCCGCUCUUGCAGCCCUGGGACCUGUCCAGCAGACAGAAAAACAGUGGGACUGGUAAGGAAGCAUGGAUGAAGCAACAGCAUCAGGAACAGCUGCAUCCAGCUGCCCCAAGGACUUGGCACUACCAGCAUAUCCUUUCCAUGGCUUCAGGGGACCCACCUAUGAAUUGAUGCGGACACAUUUUGAGGCUAAUAAAAUGUGAUGAUUUUCCA